AAAUCACUAUCCCACUCGUUCAAUUCUUCGACGCAAAUCAUCUCCGUCAACCCCACUCCCACCGAUCGACUAACCAUCUCUGACCACCUGACACCCGCUGUUUGACCGUUCCCACCAUCAUUGUUCGACGUUGUCUCAAAGCUCAGGUGCUAAUCAAGGGGAUCAAAAUUCAUCGUCUAUCGUGUUGUGUGUUAGGGCUAUCAUAAUUGUUCUGGUAAUUCCAGUCCCAAUCAAAUCUCAUUGACAUUUGCAUGAAAGGCAUCUUACCCACACUGUAAUAAGCCAAUUUUAGCCUGGACCCAAAUUACAAAUAAAACAAACAAAUAUAGUCCAUUACAAAAAAAAAUGCCCACAAACCCAAAACAAAUAAACCCUAGCCCACUCUUAAUAUUUCAAAAAAAGAAAACCCUAGGGCUAGCCUAAGAGCUUCAACCACCACUCCUAGAAGCCGCCUCUAGGCCUGCCGCUGCCGCAUGCGCUUGACACUUCUUUG